GUCUUUUUGGUAUUAAUUUAAGGUUUAGCCUGCCCAAUGAAAAUUUGAAUGGCCGCGGUAUUUUGACUGUGCUAAGGUAGCAUAAUCAUUAGUUUUUUAAUUAAAAGCUGGAAUGAAGGGUUGGAUGAAAAAUUAACUGUCUCUAAUUAAUUUUAUUAGAAUUUUAUUUUUAAGUUAAAAAGCUUAAAUAAUUUUAAAAGACGAGAAGACCCUAUAGAGUUUAAUAUAUUUAAUUUAUUAAUAUUAAGAAUUUACUUUUUAUAAUUAUAAUAUAUUUAAUUGGGGUGAUUAAAAAAUUUAAUAAACUUUUUUUAUAAAUUUAUAUUGGUUAAUAAAUUAAUGAUCCAAAAAUUUUGAUUAUAAGAUAAAUUACCUUAGGGAUAACAGCGUAAUUUUAUUAGAGAGUUCUAAUCGAAAAUAAAGUUUGCGA
rnacentral:rRNA from 1 species